rnacentral:rRNA from 1 species
UACGUACUGUGCGGACGUUAUUCGGAAUCACUGGGCUUAAAGGGUGUGUAGGCGGCCAGCUAAGUAGGGUGUGAAAGGCCUCGGCCUAACCGAGGCACUGCGCCCUAAACUGACUGGCUUGAGUGAGAUAGGGGUGUGCGGAACUUCCAGUGGAGCGGUGAAAUGUGUUGAUAUUGGAAGGAACGCCGGUGGCGAAAGCGGCACACUGGGUCUCGUCUGACGCUGAGACACGAAAGCCAGGGGAG